rnacentral:rRNA from 1 species
CGGGAGGAAGGUGGGGAUGACGUCAAGUCCUCAUGGCCUUUAUGCUUAGGGCUACACACGUGCUACAAUGGGUGGUACAAAGAGAAGCCAACUCGCGAGAGCGCGCCAAUCUCAAAAAGCCAUCCUCAGUUCGGAUUGGAGUCUGCAACUCGACUCCAUGAAGUUGGAAUCGCUAGUAAUCGCGGAUCAGCAUGCCGCGGUGAACUACGCUCCCGGGCCUU